GAUGAAGAACGUAGUGAAAUGCGAUAAGUAAUGUGAAUCGCAGAAUUCAGUGAAUCAUCGAAUCUUUGAACGCACAUUGCGCCCAUUAGUAUUCUAGUGGGCAUGCCUGUUCGAGCGUCAUUAAUUCCACUUAAGCCCUGCUUAGUGUUGGGAAUCUACUCUAGUGGUGCUACCCUGGAGCUACCCCUGAAAGGGGGCUGGCCCGGUAGCUACCCUGUAGUUCCUCAAAGAUAGUGCGCGGAGUUGCGUGGUCCUCUGAGCUUAGUAACUAUACACCUAGCUUUUGAGUGUCCCGCGGCGCCUGCCGUUUAAACCCCAUCUUUUAAUGGUUGACCUCGGAUCAGGUAGGAAUACCCGCUGAACUUAAGCAUAUCAAUAAGCGGAGGA
rnacentral:misc_RNA from 1 species